rnacentral:lncRNA from 1 species
AAUAAUUAAUUGAACUAAUUAAGUAAAGAAAACUCAGAAUAACAAAAUAUUUUUCUUUCCCAUUAGGAAGUUGACACGCACCCCACUAUACAAUUCUUCUCUCAACAUUGCAAAUAAAAUAUCUCACUUCCUCCAUAGAGGAAAUGACAUGCGUCUAAAAAAAGGGCGGGAAAUCACCUUCCAUCUUCGGCCAGCUAGCAGUGAGGGGAGGGAUUUUCUUUUGGUCCAUCACAUGAGGAGGGUCAAAAGGGAUCUAGAAAAACAAAAAAAAGAAAAAGAAACGAGAGAGGAGAGAGGAGAUUCCUUUUCUUCUUCAACGUCCUCGAAACGCCUCUUCUUCGUUAUUCUCCACCCUUAAUAUUACACACGCCUUCGUCUCCAUUAUCAACCGUAAACUCUUACCUUCCUCCGCCUCCACAAGCACCACAAACUCGUCAUUGUUCCGCUGCGCCUAGCUCCUUCAAUUACUCUACCUAAUAAAACCAUUUUUCUCACAUUUCUAUAAACUCCUCCCUCAUCUCCAAACUCCAUCUUCAUAAGAAAACCAAUUCUUCUCAUAUACCAUACUACACACAUUUACUCCAUCUCACUAUACAUUUUUUUCCUCAUUCUCACUUACUGAUAUAAGCCUUUACCUACCUUCUUUAACCUUAAAUCAACACCAACCAUGAACUAUCACCUUCACAUAAAACACCUCCUUCAUAAACUCCACUAAAUAACACUCUUCAUUAACACCAAAAUAAACAAAGAAUAAUACACAACACAACAACCUCUCAAACCACAACAUAAAUAAAAAAUCAUAAAAAAUAGAGAAAACAAAAUCAAAAGCAAGAAGAAGAAGAAAGUGGAAUCAAGAAGCCAAGCUCGUCGGAUGCAUUCGAACGUCGUCAGAACCACCCCUGCACCACCAUCGAAACGAAUCUGGCGACCUAAGACUCCACCACCGCUUCAUGCCGCCGUUUUAUCAUUCUUUGUCAAUCCGACGCCACACCAUUAUUAGUUGUUUCAAGUAGCUUUAUUUUUAUUUUCAUUUGUUUUGAUUUCACUUUGUUUUAUUGAUUUUUGUUGGUUUUUUUGAAAGAAAUGAAAGAAAAUGAUAUGGGAAAAGAACUGAACGUGGAAAUAGAGAAAGUGUUGGCUUUGUGGUUUUAAAAUUAAAAAUUAAAAAAAAAGUCUAUUAAUAGUUGAAAAGUCAAACUGAUAAUUCAAUAUUAUUAAUAUUAUUAAUUAGUACUCAUAUUAUUAAGAGUGUUAGUUUUAUGAAAA